AUGAAGCUUGGUUAGUGUUUUGGAGUCAAAUAUGACUAGAUGUCAUGUGUAUGAUUGAGUAUAAGAACUAGAAUGGCAACCGAUUCCCAAUAGCUAAAGUUAUGUUUCCUUGUUAGAAGAUACAAAGCCAAAGACUCAUACGGACUUCGUGUACACCAUCAAAAUUUUGAGAAGCAAUAAGAAGCUUGGUUAGUAUUUUAGAGUCAAAUAUUACAGGAUAUCAUGUGUAUCAUUGAGUAUAAGAACUAGAACCGCAACCGAUUCCCAAAAGCUAAAGUAAUGUUUCUUGUUUGUAGAUACAAAGCCAAAGACUCAUACCGACUUCGGCUACACCAUCAAAGCUUUGUGAGGCAAUAAGAAGCUUGGUUAGUUUUUCGGAAUCAAAUAUGGCUAGAUGUCAUGUGUAUGAUUGAGUAUAAGAACUAGAACCGCAACUAAUUCCCAAAAGCUAAAUUAAUGUUUCCUUGUUAGAAGAUACAAAGCUAAAAACUCAUACGGACUUCGGCUAAGCCAUUAAUGUUUUGAGAAGCAAUAGGAAGCUUGGUUAUUUUUUUGGAGUCAAAUAUGACUAGAUGUCAUGUGUAUGAUUGAGUAUAAGAACUAGAACCGCAACCGAUUCCCAAAAGCUAAAGUAAUGUUUCCUUGUUUGAAGAUACAAAGUCAAAGACUCAUACGGACUUCGGCUACACCAUCAAAACUUUGUGAGGCAAUAAGAAGCUUCGUUAGUUUUUGGGAGUC
rnacentral:sRNA from 1 species